GGUGAGAUGGCCGAGCGGUCUAAGGCGCCAGACUAAGGAUCAACGUGUUUGACGCGUUCCACUUCGGUGGUAAUCUGGUCCUCCGGGGCGUGGGUUCGAAUCCCACUCUCAUCA